rnacentral:rRNA from 1 species
CGGCGUGCUAUACAUGCAAGUCGAGCGAAUGGAUUAAGAGCUUGCUCUUAUGAAGUUAGCGGCGGACGGGUGAGUAACACGUGGGUAACCUGCCCAUAAGACUGGGAUAACUCCGGGAAACCGGGGCUAAUACCGGAUAACAUUUUGAACCGCAUGGUUCGAAAUUGAAAGGCGGCUUCGGCUGUCACUUAUGGAUGGACCCGCGUCGCAUUAGCUAGUUGGUGAGGUAACGGCUCACCAAGGCAACGAUGCGUAGCCGACCUGAGAGGGUGAUCGGCCACACUGGGACUGAGACACGGCCCAGACUCCUACGGGAGGCAGCAGUAGGGAAUCUUCCGCAAUGGACGAAAGUCUGACGGAGCAACGCCGCGUGAGUGAUGAAGGCUUUCGGGUCGUAAAACUCUGUUGUUAGGGAAGAACAAGUGCUAGUUGAAUAAGCUGGCACCUUGACGGUACCUAACCAGAAAGCCACGGCUAACUACGUGCCAGCAGCCGCGGUAAUACGUAGGUGGCAAGCGUUAUCCGGAAUUAUUGGGCGUAAAGCGCGCGCAGGUGGUUUCUUAAGUCUGAUGUGAAAGCCCACGGCUCAACCGUGGAGGGUCAUUGGAAACUGGGAGACUUGAGUGCAGAAGAGGAAAGUGGAAUUCCAUGUGUAGCGGUGAAAUGCGUAGAGAUAUGGAGGAACACCAGUGGCGAAGGCGACUUUCUGGUCUGUAACUGACACUGAGGCGCGAAAGCGUGGGGAGCAAACAGGAUUAGAUACCCUGGUAGUCCACGCCGUAAACGAUGAGUGCUAAGUGUUAGAGGGUUUCCGCCCUUUAGUGCUGAAGUUAACGCAUUAAGCACUCCGCCUGGGGAGUGCGGCCGCAAGGCUGAAACUCAAAGGAAUUGACGGGGGCCCGCACAAACGGUGGAGCAUGUGGUUUAAUUCGAAGCAACGCGAAGAACCUUACCAGGUCUUGACAUCCUUUGACAACCCUAGAGAUAGGGCUUCUCCUUCGGGAGCAGAGUGACAGGUGGUGCAUGGUUGUUGUCAGCUCGUGUCGUGAGAUGUUGGGUUAAGUCCCGCAACGAGCGCAACCCUUGAUUUUAGUUGCCAUCAUUUAGUUGGGCACUUUAAGGUGACUGCCGGUGACAAACCGGAGGAAGGUGGGGAUGACGUCAAAUCAUCAUGCCCCUUAUGACCUGGGCUACACACGUGCUACAAUGGACGGUACAAAGAGCUGCAAGACCGCGAGGUGGAGCUAAUCUCAUAAAACCGUUCUCAGUUCGGAUUGUAGGCUGCAACUCGCCUACAUGAAGCUGGAAUCGCUAGUAAUCGCGGAUCAGCAUGCCGCGGGGAAUACGUUCCCGGGCCUUGUACACACCGCCCGUCACACCACGAGAGUUUGUAACACCCGAAGUCGGUGGGGUAACCUUUUGGAGCCAGCCGCUUAA